CAAUGGGCCAACCAACCAUGGACUGAACCCUCCCAAACUAUGGCAUAAUAAUUGCACCUACUUAACGUAGACGUUCCACCCCCAGCACUCCAGAAAGCUUACAUGUUUAUGAGCUUUGGUACCCAGUGAUCUACUUUGCUUCUCUAUGAAUUUGAC